UACAGAGGGUGCGAGCGUUAAUCGGAAUUACUGGGCGUAAAGCGCACGUAGUCGGCUUUGCAAGUCGGUUGUGAAAUCUCCGGGCUUAACCCGGAAAGGUCAGCCGAUACUGCGGGGCUAGAGUGCAGAAGGGGCAACUGGAAUUCUCGGUGUAGCGGUGAAAUGCGUAGAUAUCGAGAGGAACACCUGCGGCGAAGGCGGGUUGCUGGGCUGACACUGACGCUGAUGCGCGAAAGCUAGGGGAGCGAACGGG
rnacentral:rRNA from 1 species